GACGUAGGGUGCGAGCGUUGUCCGGAUUUAUUGGGCGUAAAGAGCUCGUAGGCGGCUCGUCGCGUCGACCGUGAAAACCCGCAGCUUAACUGCGGGCUUGCGGUUGAUACGGGCGGGCUAGAGUUCGGUAGGGGAGACUGGAAUUCCUGGUGUAGCGGUGAAAUGCGUAGAUAUCGAGAGGAACACCUGCGGCGAAGGCGGGUUGCUGGGCUGACACUGACGCUGAGGCACGAAAGUGUGGGGAUCAAACAGG
rnacentral:rRNA from 1 species